UUUGAAUCAACCUAAACAGAACUAACAAACAUGUAUCUGUUUGUGGUUGUGACUGGUAUCGAAUGCAAAAUCUCUAUGUUAUCACUGCACUGUUGCUAACUGCAACUUUUGACAUUGAUGGAGAGAAAUUUUGUUUAUGGUUUUGCAGGCUCCCGGUACGUGGCGUUGGAUGCUCGGAGUAGCUGGUCUUCCGGCUUUGGUUCAGUUCGGGUUGAUGGUCUUCCUCCCCGAGUCUCCCCGAUGGCUUUACAGCAGGGUAAUGCACCUAGCAAGAACAAAAAUACCAUGUUAAGAAUAUAAUAGUACGAAUGAGAGUAACUCUUCCAUUUCUUUUAUGAUCAGAACAAAGUGGAUGAAGCGAGGGAGAUCCUUGAGAAGAUCUACCCACCGGAAGAAGUGGAAGCAGAGAUGGCAGCAUUGAAAGAGUCGGUCGAAUCCGAAAGGGAGGACGAAGCCGUAAUCGGAGAAAACUUGUCAUCCAAG
rnacentral:lncRNA from 1 species